UAUAUAAUCACUCAACGGCUCUCGCCUCUCGGUGUUCGCGAAGUUCCCGAUAGGUUUAAGAAAAAAAAAAUCACACGGUAUUAUCAAAAUUGAACACUGAUUUCGCUUAAGUUAUUGGCUUUCUCUUCAAACCCACGGAAAGCCAAAUUACCCCCUAAAUUUUCAGCACAACAAGGAGCACCAUUAUUUUUUUGUUGUUGUUGGAAAUAAUCAUCAACAAGUAGCGUUUUUGGUAAUCUUAAAUUAGCAGGAGAAACCUAAAGUUGGAGGAUGAUACAUUUGUUUCCUGUUACUAGUUUUGUAAAAACAAAUGAGAUUGAUUCCAAAUCUUCAGUCUCCCAGGCAGACACCCAUCCACAAAGCCAUGGGUGAUAAAUGAUCUUCACAGCGGGCACGACUGCGUUGUAAAUUGGUAUCACUUUUACAAAGCCAAACCGGUAUAAUGGCAAUGGCAUUUUUCAAAUUUUAUAUAUAGAAUUAUGUUGCUUCUUUGCUUCAUUGGACAGCAGAUUUAGAUCACGUGUCUACUGUGAAAGAGAUCAUGUGUCUCAACGAAAAUGGCUCAUGCUCAAAGUAAUUAACUAGUGAACUCUUUUUUGUAUUUGUUGUUAUUAACGAUUGCUUGCAUCAUAAUUUAAAUAUACUGUAUUUGAAACAAG